CCUACGGGAGGCAGCAGUGGGGAAUAUUGGGCAAUGGGCGCAAGCCUGACCCAGCAACGCCGCGUGAAGGAAGAAGGCUUUCGGGUUGUAAACUUCUUUUGUCAGGGAAGAGUAGAAGACGGUACCUGACGAAUAAGCCACGGCUAACUACGUGCCAGCAGCCGCGGUAAUAAGUAGGUGGCAAGCGUUAUCCGGAUUUACUGGGUGUAAAGGGCGUGUAGGCGGGGACGCAAGUCAGAUGUGAAAACCACGGGCUCAACCUGUGGCCUGCAUUUGAAACUGUGUUUCUUGAGUACUGGAGAGGCAGACGGAAUUCCCAGUGUAGCGGUGAAAUGCGUAGAUAUUAGGAGGAACACCAGUGGCGAAGGCGGUCUGCUGGACAGCAACUGACGCUGAGGCGCGAAAGCGUGGGGAGCAAACAGGAUUAGAUACCCGUGUAGUC
rnacentral:rRNA from 1 species